GACUGCUUUAGAGCUCAGUGAUGGGAUUUCUGUCCUCCUCCAGGACGAUAAAGGAAAAAAGGCAAAUGAACCGAAGGAAGUUCGCCAUUCUCAACGGAUAGGCAGAAAGGAAAUCAAGUUUCAUUUGCCUAGGAAGUACAACUGGCAAGGCCAGAGCCUUUGCUGUGACCCUACUUCCAGCCCUAGACCAUGAGGACAGCAUGAACCUUCAGACAGUAUCUGAUGUGAAUAGACCUGGACCUGGACUGAGCCCAAGUGAGUGGAUACCAGGAGAACAAAAACUGAUCUAAAGUCCUCAUGCUCCACAAGUAAGAAAUGAGAUGUGUUGUUUAAGCCAAUGAAAUUUUGAGUUUCUGCGUUGUGUACCUUGGGCUAGUGAAACCUAACGUACAGCCUAUGGAGAUCUAGCAGGUAAAAAUAAGUAAGAUUUGGAAGGUUGUUGGUAACAGAGUAAAAAUGGUAGAUCUUCAUGGAUACGGCAAUUUACUAAAAAUAGAAUACACAUUUUUUCUCUGUGUUUUCUCACUUACCAAAGUUAACCGUAUACUGGGCCACAAAGAAAAUGUUAAUAAAUCUCCCAAAGUAGAAAUCGUAUAGAUAACACUCUUUGGCCAGACUAUAAUUGCAUGAUGAAUGGCUAGUCCGUAGAAAACCUCCUCUCCCAAAAGCCAAAAAUUAAAUUAUCUUUUUGAAAUAAUUUAAAAGUAGAAAUCAAAACUACAA